rnacentral:tRNA from 1 species
UCCCUGGUGGUACAAUGGUUAAGAUUCUGUGCUUCCACUACAGAGGGCACAGGUUCGAUCCCUGGUCAGAGAA